rnacentral:lncRNA from 7 species
GGCAGCAAGGACAGGACGUCCAUAUCGGAUUCGCGAUCACCUGAACAACUGAAUAUACAACCCCUCAAAACUAUAGUAAGCGCGAUGAACGAGCGCGUCGUCGUACGUACGGUGGAAACAUGCAUGCUCUCGUGCUCGGCUGCCUCUCUAUUUAAAGCCAGUGACUGAGCUGAUCCGAAAGUGAGAUCUCAGCUGAUCUGGUGGUGGCAAUGUGGAUGGAGGGAGCUAGCGAGUGGGAGAGAGAGAAGAAAGAAAGU